rnacentral:tRNA from 2 species
GCAGUCGUGGCCGAGUGGUUAGGGCGAUGGACUAAAAAUCCAUUGGGGUCUCUCCGUCACAGGUUCAAAUCCUGUCGACUGCG